rnacentral:rRNA from 1 species
GUGGGGGAUAACUAGUCGAAAGACUAGCUAAUACCGCAUACGACCUGAGGGUGAAAGUGGGGGACCGCAAGGCCUCAUGCUAUAGGAGCGGCCGAUGUCUGAUUAGCUAGUUGGUGGGGUAAAGGCCCACCAAGGCGACGAUCAGUAGCUGGUCUGAGAGGACGAUCAGCCACACUGGGACUGAGACACGGCCCAGACUCCUACGGGAGGCAGCAGUGGGGAAUUUUGGACAAUGGGGGCAACCCUGAUCCAGCAAUGCCGCGUGUGUGAAGAAGGCCUUCGGGUUGUAAAGCACUUUUGUCCGGAAAGAAAUCGCACUGGUUAAUACCUGGUGUGGAUGACGGUACCGGAAGAAUAAGGACCGGCUAACUACGUGCCAGCAGCCGCGGUAAUACGUAGGGUCCAAGCGUUAAUCGGAAUUACUGGGCGUAAAGCGUGCGCAGGCGGUUGUGCAAGACCGAUGUGAAAUCCCCGGGCUUAACCUGGGAAUUGCAUUGGUGACUGCACGGCUAGAGUGUGUCAGAGGGAGGUAGAAUUCCACGUGUAGCAGUGAAAUGCGUAGAGAUGUGGAGGAAUACCGAUGGCGAAGGCAGCCUCCUGGGAUAAACACUGACGCUC